rnacentral:rRNA from 1 species
GGUUAAAAAGCUCGUAGUUGGAUCUCGGCAAGUAGAGGGCGGUAUGCUUCGUAGCAUUACUGCCCUAUUACUUGUAGUUUUGCCAGAGGUUCCUGGGUGCUCUUAAUCGAGUGUCUAGGGAUGCUGGCAGGUUUACUUUGAAAAAAUUAGAGUGCUCAAAGCAGGCUAUUACGCUUGAAUAUUCGUGCAUGGAAUAAUAGAAUAGGAAGUUGUUUCUAUUUUGUUGGUUUUCGGAAAUCGACUUAAUGAUUAAUAGGGACAGUCGGGGGCAUUUGUAUUCAAACGACAGAGGUGAAAUUCCUAGAUCGUGGGAAGACGAACUUCCGCGAAAGCAUUCGACAAGAAUGUCUUCAUUAAUCAAGAACGAGAGUGUGGGGGUCGAAGAUGAUCAGAUACCGUCGUAGUCCACUACUGUAAACAAUGCCGUCUCAAGAUUGAGAAGUGAACCUAAUGACUUUCACAGCACUAACCCCUGAAACGAGAAAUCGAAGAUUAUGGGUUCAGGGGGGAGUACAUUCGCAAGGCUGAAACUUAAAAGAAUUGACGGAAUGA